AGGGUGAGUAACGCGUGGGAACGUACCUUUUGGUUCGGAACAACACAGGGAAACUUGUGCUAAUACCGAAUAAGCCCUUACGGGGAAAGAUUUAUCGCCGAAAGAUCGGCCCGCGUCUGAUUAGCUAGUUGGUGGGGUAACGGCCCACCAAGGCGACGAUCAGUAGCUGGUCUGAGAGGAUGAUCAGCCACAUUGGGACUGAGACACGGCCCAAACUCCUACGGGAGGCAGCAGUGGGGAAUAUUGGACAAUGGGCGCAAGCCUGAUCCAGCCAUGCCGCGUGAGUGAAUGAAGGCCCUAGGGUUGUAAAGCUCUUUUGUGCGGGAAGAUAAUGACGGUACCGCAAGAAUAAGCCCCGGCUAACUUCGUGCCAGCAGCCGCGGUAAUACGAAGGGGGCUAGCGUUGCUCGGAAUCACUGGGCGUAAAGGGUGCGUAGGCGGGUCUUUAAGUCAGGGGUGAAAUCCUGGAGCUCAACUCCAGAACUGCCUUUGAUACUGAGGAUCUUGAGUUCGGGAGAGGUGAGUGGAACUGCGAGUGUAGAGGUGAAAUUCGUAGAUAUUCGCAAGAACACCAGUGGCGAAGGCGGCUCACUGGCCCGAUACUGACGCU
rnacentral:rRNA from 1 species